ACUACAAUUGCAUUACUCUUAUGUUCCUUGUACACAUUAUUUUGAAUACAAAUUUGAAUUUAAAUUUAAAUUUGAAACUUGUAAUGACCUUAAAGUAUAGCAACAACGACCAAAGAAAACGGUAAUAUUGAACUGUGAGACAAGCGACCAUCUCCCCAUAACAACAACAGCUUGAGCUACGUCGCUUCUAAUUCAACAAGUAGCACUCUUUACCAUCCAGCAUAUAUCAGGAGGAGGUGAUCUCUCGUUACAGGAACAAUAUCAAAUCGUCAAAGCACUGUGGCUAAAUAUCUCCAGGCGACCAACACAUUGGGUCACAUGCCACAUUACACCUGGUGGCGCCACCAACACCUAAACCCAGACAAGAAGAGCCCCGGCAACAAGGAUCAGCUGACGCCAUGAACACUGCGGCAAGUCUCCCUCUAACACACACCUUUGUGUAGUCUCAGCUCCUCAACGUAACAAGCACUUUUGACACUCAACGCGUCUCCCAACACCUGUACUGGUGCAGUCAUCGGGAGAACAAACCCUUCAUGCAAACUGUAUCUAUUAUCAAGAAGAAAAAGUGGUAUAGCUGCCAUCCUGAGGUUCACUCCGGAACAUGCUCUGAGGUUCUUUCCCAGAUCACCUCAAGGCUCGCCCAAGCGUCAUCUGGAAACUGGCACAGUUGCUACCCCAAGAGUCGCUCUUCACUACUUAAACCGGCAAGCGGGCUCCUCUUAAGGGCUACGAGUAAGGCUAGCCAUGCAGCAGUAGGGCCGAGUCGCAACGUAUUGUCUGAUGUUCUGCAGGACAAAUUCUUAAGAGGAAAAUGUUGCGUGAUCUCACAUCAGUGCUAGUUGGGGGAUCUCGAGGAUUGCCUCCAACGCUUGCUUUUCUUUUCAAGUUGGCUUGGGCCUCAAGAGUACGUCUGCCAUUGCUCAUUGCCAUUGGAUUCAUGGUCACCAACAUUCACUUACGGUUAGAGAUCAACGUCAACAUAGAGGUGGGGGAGGAGGAAGGUCAGCCACCAGAUCAGCAGGUACAACAGGGAGAGCAACACCUCUAGAUCAUGUAUGCAUGUACCAUUAUGGGCUUACCAUACCAAGAAUGACUGAGGAUUUGUGUGUGUGUGUGUGUUGUGAGUUAUGCACAUAUUAUUCAAUAAAUUAUUAGCUUGGUUUUAAUACUGCAGUUGUCUUUCAGUUAAGUUUCCAACUAUUAUCUCUGAAAUAACAGCAUCAGUAUUUAAUAAAGUAAUUAAUAAAUGUAAUUAUUACAAUUAUAGAAAACUUUAAGCAUAGGCCUAACUGAUCGUAAUUUUGAGAGGGCUUAUAUUGCAUUUAGCCCCACUGUGUAAAUCAACGAGAGAGGAUUGAUUUUCAUUUGUAUGUUUAUUAAUAUGGUAAGUAAGAAUUUUUGGCUAAAUGUGGUCGUCAUAAAUUUGUAAAAGUGCUCAUAUCUUUUAAUGCUUUAUAAUUACUGUAUGUUCAGUUUUUUGUUUUGAAUUGAUAUCUGUUCGAUACAUUAUUGGCUUCUACAUCGCUAAAAUUUGGAAUGGAAUGGAGAGCACACACAGUGGAGAUGCUUAAGGAAGAUGCAGUUUUAUUAAUUACUGUACUUGCAAAUAUAGUACAGUAUAUAAUUUGUUUAGAGUAAGAAUUAGUUAUAUGUGGAAGUGUAAAUGUAUGGCAUAUGCCUAAAACACCCCAUUAAUGGGCAUUGCAAGAUGUUAUAGGAUGUACUGGAAGGUGUCAGAAAAAUUGUAAGCCUUCAGUAGUGUUUUUUCUUCUAAAUAUGAUGAUAAUUUUCUUGGAAUGUUACGUUUAGAAAAGAGUGUUUCAGCAGGUGUGUUGCUUAUUAUGAACAUCUGGUUGUAAGUUCCUGUAGUGCAGUGGUUUUCAUCUGUACCUCACAACCAAGGAUCCUGGGUUCAGUCCCCAGGUGGGACAUAGUCAGUUGGUCAUGCUUCCUUUCACCUGAUGUCUCUUUUCAAACAAUAGUAUGUAUGUACCUAGGAAUUAGGUAACUGUUGUGGGUUGCAUCCUGGGGAAGGUCAUCAGUAGUUGGCUUGCGAGGACCUGGAUAAGCCUAGGAGGCUUACUAUUAUUGACUAUGGAAUAAGAUGAACCAUAUUAGAGUUAUGAUUGAAGGUACACUCAUCAGUUUGUUUAGAUUCUAAUGAUUUGAUUAUUGGCUAUCAGAUUGAUGAUGCUGGAGGGUAAAAGUGGAGCAUAGAUAAACUAUAUUUUGUGCAUUAUAUAGACCCCUUCUUCAGUAAUCCAACAUAUGAUGAAGGAAAUUCAAUAAGAGUUCAUUGUUAGGUGCCAUAUGCACUUAGAGAAUGUAGUGUAAAUUUCCGAGACCCGCGGCUCUUCAAUCUGUUGCCAACAAAUAUAAGAAAUGGAGCUAGAACAACAGUGGGAGCAUUCAAGAGAGAAUUAAACAAGUUUUUGCUGAAGUUACUGGAUCAGCCUGUCUGUAUGGGAUUUUAGGCGACACACACAAACAUCCUCACAGACCGGGUAAUCAACUGAAUGACCCUAACCAGUCAGAUCUGACACUGACGUAAUCUGGAAAGCAUUAACUAUUCACAUAACAUACUUUAGUACAGUAUCAAACGUCGGGUUGCUUUGAAUAGGGAUACAACUGACAUACCACAAGCGAAUUUCUCCCAAAUUAUUUGCAUUUAUCCCUUGCACUGUGAUAGUUGAUGCAGGUCAACAAAAUAAUAAUGGUAUUUCACUACAUUUCACUACUAUAAUCAAAUUUUUCUAGGUGUAUAGGAUUUUUUUUUCUCCAAAUCCUGUAAUGUUUGAAAAGGUUUACUGACCUUCAAACUUAGAGGUGAAUGUGCUGCCAUCUGUUAAUGAUUAGCAUCAAGCUGCGCCCCAAACAGUACCACCAAAUCCACCAAGAAUAAUUCCCAUACACCACACUUGGCCCCCCUCAUAACUGUUUUGACAAUAUUUUCGACAUGUUUUGUUGUUUUGAAUGUUGUGACAUGUUGUGUAAAAGUGAUAUAUUCUCGGUACAGUAUAUUAUUGUGCCUAUUAACGUUGAUUAACAAGUUUGAUGUUUUGAAAAUUUGUGUGUAAAUGUUUUCUUGCUCAAGACAGUCAUUGAAAGUUGCACAAAAAAUUUGGAGCUGCAGCAAAAAAAGCCAACUAACCCUAGGAGUAGUAAUACGAAUCUUUGACUUCAAGGGAAAAAAGUGCUUAUUUAACUGUACAAUUCCCUGUUCUACCCACAUUUGAAGGAACUAUCAAGGGAAAGUACCAAGCCAUUAUGACUAUAUAGCACUGGGAAGGGGUCAGGAUAAGGAUUUGGGAUGGGAUGGGGCAUUGAAGGAAUGGUGCCCAACCACUUGAACGGUUGGGGAUUAAACGCCGACCUGCAUGAAGCAAGACCGUCGCUCUACCAUCCAUCCCACGUGGUUUACCCACAUUUGAACUACUGUACUUUAUUUAAGCAUGAACAUAAGGCGUCAAAAAUAGGGAUACAACCCUAUUUUUUCCAGACUAGAAGUCGACUAAUCAUCCCAGACUAUCAGUGGACUCUCAUACCAGGAAAGGCUAAGGGCCAUAGGACUAAACACUGCAAGCCCGACAUGACAAGGCAAAUCUCAUAGAAACUUUUAAAAUACUGAACAAAAUGGAGAAUAUUAAUGCAGACCAUUUCCAUAAAAGGUCAGAUGUUCAUACAUGCAAGGGGCAACAUCUUCAAAUUCAACAAGCCAUAAUGUAGGACAGAAAACAGGAGAUGCUCUUUAACCAAUAGGGUUAUAAACCUAUGGAACUGCCUACUUGCCAAAGCUGUAAAUGCCAAGAUACUACCCUAGUUCAAAACCCAGUUGGAAUUUUUUUUUUUUGAAAAAUACAGGGGGACAUUUGACAAGCUGCCAGCAUCCUGUUCCCAUUGUGGCCUGUAGAAAGAUAUUGGCUCCUAAGGUAAAUUCAGGUAAAUAUUAAUUUUGUUUUAUCAAAAUACUGUAUAACAAAACAUGACAAACAACACAUCAGUAGCAGAGGUACAUACCCUCAAUCCCCUAUUUUGAAAUUUUCUGAGGCAAUGUUUGAUACAUGUGAUUAAGGGUAUGUGGAUAGGUUUUUAUGGUAUGACACAUGACAGAUUCAAGGCACUGCCAUCAGAGCCUUGAAUUGGUGGCUGCCAUCCCAGCUUCCACUGUAUGUCCAGUUGUUUUUCGCUGGAGCUGAGAAGCAAGAUCACAGGUCUCGUCUUCCCUUGCCCACUGCUUUGCACAUUUGGGCUGUGAUUAAAUUUUUCUCACCAUCUCGUGGGUAGCCUGGAUGCCUUGCUUUUGCUUCAAGUUGGGGAUUGCUUACUCGAUAGACUAUUGUGGAAGUGUGGUGGUCUGGUGAUGGUCAGUAUAGUGGAUAGCUGGCUAACUGUAGUUGGCAGAGAGGUAAUUCGUAUCUCUUGAGAGUGGGUGUUAAUUGAUAUGGUUUUCUUUUAUGUGAUAACAAUCUUUUGUCUCUAGUGAAUAAUUGAUUUGCAGUAUUUUUCCACUUUCAUUCCUUCCUAUCUACAUGACAAGACUGGUUGCAAAGUUUUAACACCCUGUACAAUCUUGUCAGUGUGGUACUAGCCAAUAACAGAAUGGCAUGUGUGGAGGCCUGGGUGGACCAGGGCUUCCUUCAGGGAGUGACCAAGGGACUUCUCUGAAAAAACGUUUUGUUUUGUACUGGAAUCCUUUAUUGAUAUAUUUUUUAAUGAUACAGUAUUAGAUAUUAAGAGAGAGUCUUUUCCUACUUGAAGUGUAAUAACAAAUGCACCAAAAUUUGUUUAGCCCCAGUUUGACCACAAACUAUCACUUUGGUGUGGGGUUGUGGCAGAUCAGUUGGUCAUGUGUUCAGUGAGCAAGUACCACAAGCGCACAUGGCACCUGAAAGAUGGUGAACUAUACUUGGCCAGGAUGAAGCCUUGAGGAAACUAAUAGAGGUCUAUAGUGAUUCUGAUGUCAAAUCAGUCAUCACAGCUGGGUGUAGGGGUGACAGAGUAAGCGCGUGCACACAAAAUGUGUAUUCGCAGUGAAAGGGUUAAUGUUUGUGCAAGAUGAGUACCCAAGAUGUUAACUAGGGACAUAAAAAAAAAAUCAACCUAGCUGGGGUAAUCAUUGGUAAGGUUUGCAUAACCAGACACAGCAGACUCUGGGAAAACAUCCUGCACAAUCUUGUAACACAAGAAGAAGCAGCAAGGUUCUGUAGCACAGUGGUGUAUGUUUUCAACUCAUAAUUUAGGCAUGUAAAGGCUUUUAUCAAGGUAAUCCAUCUACAGUACUACAUUAUUUAAGCCCACUUUCUUCUUGGUGUUUCCCUGCAUUGUUGUCACUACCUUUUACCCUUCACUAGCAAAAUGAAACACAAUUUUGCUCUUAGCAUAGAAUGAUUAAACAAUUUCUGGCACCUUUCAUACGUUUAGUGAAAGUAAAUGUGAAUUGGUGUGUUGUGGAAUGGUUUCAACCUAUUAUAUAUAACGAAUGUACUACAUGCAUUACUGUAUUUGUUUUAUAGAUUGUUUCAAAUUAAUGUACCUGAAUGAUCUAAAACAAGAUAAAUUGUAUUGAAAUGAA